UACAAAUUAGAAAUCAAUUUCAAGGGCUAA
rnacentral:piRNA from 1 species